rnacentral:tRNA from 1 species
GAGGGUAUAGCUCAGUGGUAAAGUGUGCGCUUGGCAUUCAUGAGGUCCUGAGUUCAAGCCCCAGUACCUCCA